UUUCUUUACCUCCAGAAAGAAAAAAAUUGACCCCUAGCAUCCUGGAAGAUUAUUUAAGAAUCUGAAAUUAGGGACUUCUUUCAAAUUUGGACAUGGCUAAUCGAGGUGCAACAAGACCCAACGGACCGAAUACUGGAAAUAAAAUAUGCCAAUUCAAACUAGUACUUCUGGGAGAGUCUGCUGUUGGUAAAUCAAGCCUAGUGCUUCGUUUUGUGAAAGGCCAAUUUCAUGAAUUUCAAGAAAGUACCAUUGGGGCUGCUUUUCUAACCCGAACUGUGUGUCUUGAUGAUACUACAGUAAAAUUUGAAAUAUGAGAUACAGCUGGUCAGGAAUGAUACCAUAGCUAAGCACCAAUGUACUACAGAGGAGCACAAGCAGCCAUAGUUGUAGGUGAUAUCACCAACGAGGAGUCCUUUGCAAGAGCAAAAAAUUGGGUUAAAGAGCUUCAGAGACAAGCAAGUCCUAACACUGUAACAGCUUUAUCAGGAAACAAGGCUGACCUAGCAAAUAAAAGAGCUGUAGAUUGCCAGGAAGCACAAUCUUAUGCAGAUGAUAACAGUUUAUUAUUCAUGGAGACAUCUGCCAAAACAUCAAUGAAUGUGAACGAAAUAUUCAUGGCAAUAGCUAAAAAGUUGCCAAAGAAUGAACCACAGAAUCCAGGAGCAAAUUCUGCCAGAGGAAGAGGAGUAGAUCUUACUGAACCCACACAGCCAACCAGGAGUCAGUGUUGUAGUAACUAAAUCUCCAGUUUGAACUAGCUGGAAUUUUCUUCUGCUUCCUAAAUGUUAAUAACAGUGGAAUUGGAGCAUUUAACCAGCCCAGUAUGACUUCCAAAAAGAAGAGACUUACAAUAGAGUCAAGUUUCUAAUACAGAAUUAUUUUAA